rnacentral:rRNA from 4 species
CGACGACGUUGAUAGGUCGGGUGUGUAAGCGCAGCGAUGCGUUGAGCUAACCGAUACUAAUGAACCGUGAGGCUUAACCUUACAACGCCGAAGGUGUUU